AAUUUUUCUAGUAAGACAAUAUUGACUGUAGUGAAUACAUUUUUAAAUUUAAGAAUAUUAACAUUUGUACAACAAUAGUGUGGUAAAUAUUUAUAUCGUUCUUUUUUGAAAAAAGGACAAGACAUUACAUAAUGGAAUUCAUCGCCGAUGUCAGCAGAUUCACAAAGGUGACAUAGCCUCUCGGGUCUUUGAACAUUUUGCCACCUCCCUGUCUCCACUGGCAAACGGUGAUUGCCACAUCUAAAUUUACAUAGUUUCAGUGCAUUUUUUAACGAUAAAACUGAAAUAUAAUUUUCAAAUUUAAGUUCUGUUUUGAAUAAUUUAUAACAUAAACCUUUUGAUGAUUGAUUUACAUUUGCAAACCAUUCUUGUCUAAACUGAUCUUUUAACUUUUGUUCAAUACUUAAUACAAUCCAAUUUUUUGAGAUACAAUCUUGAUUUUGCCAAAUGUUUGACAUACCACAAUUAUCAAAAAUACUUUUGAUAAAUAACAACCAUUUG
rnacentral:lncRNA from 1 species